ACGAACGCUGGCGGCAUGCCUAACCCAUGCCAGUCGAACGAUGCCUUCGGGCAUAGUGGCGCACGGGUGCGUAACGCGUGGGAAUCUGCCUUUCGGUUCGGAAUAACUCAGGGAAACUUGAGCUAAUACCGGAUAACGUCGCAAGACCAAAGAUUUAUCACCGAAAGAUGAGCCCGCGUAGGAUUAGCUAGUUGGUGAGGUAAAGGCUCACCAAGGCGACGAUCCUUAGCUGGUCUGAGAGGAUGAUCAGCCACACUGGGACUGAGACACGGCCCAGACUCCUACGGGAGGCAGCAGUGGGGAAUAUUGGACAAUGGGCGAAAGCCUGAUCCAGCAAUGCCGCGUGAGUGAUGAAGGCCUUAGGGUUGUAAAGCUCUUUUACCCGGGAAGAUAAUGACGGUACCGGGAGAAUAAGCCCCGGCUAACUCCGUG
rnacentral:rRNA from 1 species